rnacentral:lncRNA from 1 species
UUGGAACCAUUUACAUUGAAUCAUUGCACGGACAAUCUUAACAUUCAUUCAAAUUCAGUUACAAAAUAAGGGCAUCCAACACUUCCCAACACUAAGAAUCUAGUUCAUAUAUAUUACAUAACAGAGAUCUACAUUACAAAAAUGAAGAUCAAGGUCACAAGGAUUGCAACCAACACACGCAUAAUGUAGACCUUCUUCCCAUUCUGUAGCUCGUUCAUCUUCUUCUCAAACUCGAUUCUUGCAUUAUGUAAUUCACUCACUUUUAUCUCAAGCUCAAUCAAUUUAGUUAAAUACUUCUCAACAAAUUGACAAAAAACAUAAAUUAUCAACAACAUUCAGUUGCUUCUGAGCUACAUCCGCCUAUAGGAAGAAAUCACAUUAAUUGCAAAGGAGGACAAUUCGAUAAUUAAGGGAAAAUUCCAUAAUUGAAGAGGAAACCCAAAAAAUGAAGAGGGAAAUCGAAAAUAAGCUCAUAAUGCUUCUAACCUUUCGAGGCUGACAACAAUAGAACAUUCAAUCAGGAUUUUUCGAAGUUCUUGAGGUCUUCACCUUCGCAAGUUUGCUGCACUGGCAUGUAAUCAUGUCGAUGUUGGAUCGAAAUGAAAAUGACCCGAAAGAAGAAGACAUGUUGAAUACCCUAUGAUCAUAAUCUCGUCACCUUUGAAUUCCUGAAAUUCGAAUUCUUGAAUAGAGCUUCAGAAAUGGAC